AAAUGGAAAGUGAAUUUUUUAUAUUUAAAUUUCACUAUUUAUAUUUAUGUGAGGGACAUUUUUGUCCAAAAAUUUCAAAUAUUAAAUACCUUUAAUUUAAAUAUAAAAAGUUUAAUUCUCAGAGUAGCUCCCAUCUGGAAGCAACGCCACCGCCCUGUUGUUGUCUGUAAGGUAAAAAUUAGGGAGGAUGAAUCGGAAAUUUGGAGGUGGAAAGGCACCAACUGGGACUCCUUCACUGCCCUUGUCAUCUGUGGUUGUCAUCUGUUCACUUCUUGCUGGUGCUUCUCUUGUACACAAUAUCUAUAA